ACUAAGCAAGAUGCAGUGAGCUUGGUCUCUAAGUUCUGUGGCCUCACCUAACAGUUAUUGGUAUAUUUUUUAGUUAAGUCAGACCCAUUAUUCACCAGUGGAUGCAAAGCCAUCAUUGAGACCCUCACGUAACAGUUAUUGGAUCCAACCCCAUCUCUAACCUGGAACAUCAAAUAUCAAUAGAGUGGUUGUACCUUUCUGAUGCAAUCGAACCACUGCA
rnacentral:lncRNA from 1 species